AUAGGGGAGCCGAAGGGAAACCGAGUCUUAACUGGGCGUUAAGUUGCAGGGUAUAGACCCGAAACCCGGUGAUCUAGCCAUGGGCAGGUUGAAGGUUGGGUAACACUAACUGGAGGACCGAACCGACUAAUGUUGAAAAAUUAGCGGAUGACCUGUGGCUGGGGGUGAAAGGCCAAUCAAACCGGGAGAUAGCUGGUUCUCCCCGAAAGCUAUUUAGGUAGCGCCUCGUGAAUUCAUCUCCGGGGGUAGAGCACUGUUUCGGCUAGGGGGCCAUCCCGGCUUACCAACCCGAUGCAAACUGCGAAUACCGGAGAAUGUUAUCACGGGAGACACACGGCGGGUGCUAACGUCCGUCGUGAAGAGGGAAACAACCCAGACCGCCAGCUAAGGUCCCAAAGUCAUGGUUAAGUGGGAAACGAUGUGGGAAGGCCCAGACAGCCAGGAUGUUGGCUUAGAAGCAGCCAUCAUUUAAAGAAAGCGUAAUAGCUCACUGGUCGAGUCGGCCUGCGCGGAAGAUGUAACGGGGCUAAACCAUGCACCGAAGCUGCGGCAGCGACACUAUGUGUUGUUGGGUAGGGGAGCGUUCUGUAAGCCGUUGAAGGUG
rnacentral:rRNA from 1 species